AGUUAGUUAGUUAGUUAGUUUAUGGCAACUUUACCACAGUUACAAUGCAUUGAAAUGUCAAAGAUUGAUGUGCAUGGUAAUUGAUUUCCUGUCGUCAUGCCGUAUUUAGACAAUUAUAAACAUUGCUAAUCUAAUGUUUCAAGGUACUUAUGAACAAUUAGUGAUUCUGCACUAGCAUCUCAAACACACUUUUGAUGAUAAUAAUAUACUGAGACAAGUUCUAUAAAUCCUAAAAGGGCUGUUGUGUAAAUGAUGAUUAGGACAAAAUUAGUGUUUUUUUCCUCCCCCCCCCCCAGUGAAAUGAUUAAGGCUUUGAAAAUGAAAACACAAGUAUUUUGGUUGUGAGCAUGCAAAAAUUCAGCACAAUUAGCAGGGAGAAGACAUUACUUUAUAGUGAUAUACUUGUUUAAAAUGAAAGAAUAUGACUAACUUUAUUGAACUUCUACUACCACUAAUGACUAACUCAGCUGUUUGUGUAACCUUUACAGUCUCAUAUUAGGAGAAUGUUAAUGGUCAAUGAUACAGAAUCAAAUGGAAGUAUGUGUUUGGGUACCCAAACAUAAGUACAUGCAUACUUUCAUUUGAAAAUAUUUAAAUGCCUCAUACAUAUUGACUACACUGAUGCUUUUUGUUCAUAUAAUGAAAACCAAUUAUCUGUGGAGAAAACUUGACUGGGUGGAAGGAAAUUAAAUUGGUUUUUAAAGACUUUCUUAAACAGCAGUAGCUAGGGAAAGGUCCACUAACAUUUUAGCUCAGGAUUAUAAUGACUUUGCUAUAUUAAUAAAUCAUGUUUUAUCCUGACUUUUAUCAUGGAUCAGGCCACUCUCCCAGUCCCUGUGAAGCCUGGAAACCACUGUAGGAGAAGGCAGGUACAUCCUAACUCACUCAAAGGAUGGGAUACAGGACAACAUAUGUCUGUUAACAAAAACUUUCAAAUUGUAAUUCUUGAAGGAAAUGGUCAUAUCCUGGAAUAUUCUGUGAUUUUUUUUUAAAAUGCUGUACAGGGAAAUCUUUACCAACUUUUCUCCGUAAUUCCCUUCUGGGAAUUUCCCAACUUCUCUGAAAUGCUUUUGUGUUGAGUAUCAACUCUCAUCAAUCAGCUCCAUAUUACUUUUUUUUUUCAUUGUGCUUAAGUCUGAGACCACUUAGGAGGACAUUUAUGGAAACAUGGAGAACACAUUGUUUCACUUACACGUGCAACAAUGCAAAUUCUUAUCCUUUGUUACUAUGCAAAAUAGUAACAUUCUGUUCUCUGUGGGCUCUCAGAGUUGACUUCCAGCAGCUAUUGUAAACUAAGGAAGGCAAAAUACUUCACUAUUACCUCAAAAUAUCUGACGGCUUACUAACUGAAGAGUAAAAUAUUUCAUUGAGUUUUUCUGAAAUCAAAUAUUUAAUUAGUUUAAACUGUAUGUCAGUAAGUUGGUCAGGUGGACUCUGUGAAGUAUAUACAUUAUUGUACUGCAGUGAGGGGCUUGUUAGGGAUCAGUGUGCGUCUUUCCCUCCGUUAAUUAUCCAAUGGCUAAACAUUAAAUAGUGCAGGUGUUUGGGUGACGUAAAGUAGUCCCUGAUCCUUUCCGUUACAUUUUCGUUGCCUUUUCAGAGCAGUGCUCUCAGAAGUAGUGUUUAAUUUAGUGGAUUAAACCCAACUAGCCUUUACCCCAUCCUGGAUCUUAAAUAUUGAAACCUUUAGCUCUUAUAUUUUAUGAUAUAUUUUCUAAUUACCCAGUUUUCACAAUCACAUUUUUAAGGUUUCAGGUUGGAAUGUAAUCAUGGUUAAUAUUUUACUCACACCCCACAGAAAUUUCACCUCUCAUGUCUGUCUCUCUCCAACUCUCAAGAAAGUCAGGUUCUGUGGGAUAAGUCACCAGGGAAUGCCUUCAUGACACUGAAUACCCGUGGUCUAAAGGGGGUCUUGGAAGUUGUUCGUAGUUUGGUAUUGUUUUCUUUCCGUUAGAAAUACUUUGUAACGCUGCCAUUCACUUCCAACUUUGCAACCAUCAGAAAUCUCAAUUGCAUAUGAGCUUUCACUCUGAAAUUUACUUUCUGAUCUCAAAUUGGCCAACUGAGAUAAGACAAAAAGUUUUAAUUAGAAUUUUAAUAUGUAACCGAAGGCAUUGAUAGAUCAUACACACAGGUGAUCUUCUAUGUAUUUAAUAACUGUGUGGAGAACUUAGAUAAUGUUUAAUUUUGUGCAGAGACUAUUUUUAACUUUACUGGAAUCGGGUUACCUGCAAUGUUCCCGGAGUGUCUCUUAGAAGUUUUAACAGUGUGAGGUUUAUUGUGUGAAUGAGUAACUGUAGGUGUCUCUAGCAAGGCCUGGGGGGGAAAUUAUAAAAAUUGGAAUAUUCUUUAAUAUAAAGAAGCUGUUCUGUUUUCCUUUCACAUUUCUCCUGGAAAAUCUAGCUUCACAUCCCUCAGUUCAAGCAUUGUAGAUGAAAAGAGAUAAAUGCCCAGCGGAGUACCAGGGGGAUUAGCCUCCCCCUUGCUACUAUUAAUGAGUGGUGCCCCUAACCUCAUGUGUUUAUUCCUUAAAAACCUAGCACAUGAAACAGUUUUCUUUUCUUUCAAGAAAUAGUUGGCACUUUAUCUUGGACUUCUGCUUGACAUGAAUUAUUUGGCAAAUUGGGGACUGAAGUGUGAACUAUAAACUUGGGACUGUGUAAUAGGCUUCAGGGGUAUUCUAGGGACAAAGACAUCCUGGUAGGGAUAUCACAAAAACAAACUUUGUUGAGAAAAAAAAUGAUCUUUUCCUCUAAUUCAUGAGACAACAACAAAAAAAUGUAUACGUUAUACAGAUACCAGUAUCCAUACACACACACACACACACACACACACACACGCACACAUGCACACACACACACACACACACACACACUUUGCUGGAGUGUAUCCUCUGUUUUUUAUUUACAUGUGCACAUGAGUCUCAUUAAUGUUGAUAACCCUCUUCAUAUGCCUCCAGAAAAUAAUGGACCCCGACUGUGAGAACUGUCUGUAUUCAGACAUGUUAAGAGCUGAAUAUUUAAAAUCUGUUUGGCACACUAAGCUUGGUUUUCUGAAGACAACAGAAGUUGGACAGAAAGAUCAAAGGAAAAAAAAAAACACUGUAAGAGAUAAUGACAUCUGGAUGGGGCCUGGGUAAUGCUCUAAUUAAAUGUACUUACACCUAAGUCUUAUCACAUGCUCAGGAGUGAGAGCUUAGAUGCUCCUUUUAAACUGCAGCCUUAGAGGCAGUCAUGGAGGCCUUGCCUGGGAGCUGUCACCUCUGCUGUGAUCCAGCUCGUUCUAUAUGUGGACCCAUAAUCCAUCCUCCUUUCUUUCACUGAAUGGGCUUCUGCUAUUUUGCUAUUCAGAUAGUCAUGAUAAAUUAGGUUAUCCCUUAAGCUUACAAAGAUAUGCAUGUUCUUUAAAAUAGAUUUGAAAAAAAAUCCGUUUAUCCACUUAGAAAAAAACAAGCUACAAGAUUUCUUGCCUUGUUGCUGGUCAUAGGUAAAGGUGAGCUUCAUAAGAAACCUUGGAUACUUUUUUCCCUGUUUGGGUAGUCAUUUGACAUCCUUUCCCUUCUGAACAUAAUAGCAGCUCGCCCUGAGUACAAAACACAAAGUAGACUUUCAGAAGUCACUGAAUCAGGCAAUUUUAACUUCUAAAAGAGUUUCUAAAGCCUAUAUUAAUUGCACAGAGUUCUUUUUAAAUUGGCAUGACUUGAACUGAUUUCAGAAUUCUGGGAUUUAGGGCAAGAAAAAGGAGGGAACUGUUUUUUCUAAGUCUUUUUUCUUUCUUUUUUUAAAUGGAGUUUUGAAACAUCAUGAUGCAAUCUCUGAUUAGGAUUUUAUUUUUUAAUAAAUAAAACAAACCCUACAUAUUUAGAAGAAACAAUUGGGCAAUGCAUAGACAUAAACUGCAUAUCUCAUUACUAUUAACAGCCAUGCAUAGUUAAACCUCCCCCUAUUGCGCAGAGCAUUUACCCUCUGGCUUUGUAAAGUGAUGCUUGAGUGUGGGUUUUACAAAGGAAUUUCAUAACCAUUUUAUAGACUCUGCAGCACACCUACAAAAUCAGAAUAUGCACCACGUUUCUUGGUUAUGUGGUAACAAUUAAUGAAAUUGGCAUUCAUUCUAGAAAAAAAGUCUAAAGUGCUUGUAUAUUGAGUCUUUUGCGGGGUGGGGGGGGGUGGAGAAUAAGUCCAUCUCUUAUUUUAAUUCAAUGAGAAACUACUUUUUCUUUUUUUUUCUUUUUCUUUUUCUUUUGUUUUUCCAUGCUCUGCCUUCUAAUAGUUCCAAACAAUCAGAUGCAAAGCAUUUGCCUUCUACCACUCCUUAGGAGAAAAUUAGUUCAUUAAUACACAAAGGUGAAAAUUAGAAACCCACUGUAAUCCAGGAAGGUCCAAGAAUUUAAACAAUCAAAUAUACCCUCUGGAUCUCAGAAUUCAUCAGGGAAAAUUUAGAACAAGUUGUUUUUCUCUGAGCUCCCUUAAUUUUGUGUUACUGCCUUAGACAUAAUUUAAAUACUAAUAAUUUAAAUACUGGUGAGGUUUGGGGAAGGCAGAUGGUUUUUUUUUGGGGGGGGGGUUUGAGAAAGCAGUAAAGUCUAGAAAGAGAGAGUUCAAAACCCUCCAGCCCCUAGGAAAACAGAGGUCUACCAGGUUAGCUUUUGGAGCGGGAUGUAUUCAAUGUGCCACACCCCUGUGCAAAAGGUUGGAACCUUUUGGCUAAGGUAACACCACUCAUGUUCUGAAGUAUAUAUAUUUAUAUUCAGGGUGCUGUGAAUAACCCCAGUUUUUGCCUUCCUUUGAAAAUUGGCUGUGCUAUUACUCAUCUUGGAUGUCAAGAUUUUCUUCUACUGGCUAGGUCGUCCUGGUUUAAUCUAAUGUUUCAUUUCCUCCCAACAAAAUAAGAUAUUUGCAUCAAAUUCAGCAUUUCAAUAACAGUAGUGAAAAGUCCCUCUUUGUAAAAAGAUACAGCAUUACUUCCUGCCAUGAGUUCAUCUGCAUCAUCCCCAUUUAUUUCUCCUGGGUGAUGAGAAGACCUUUUGCAUUUGACCAAAAAGCGCUAGUAAAUAAGGAGUUAAAAUGAAGGCAGGCUCACUGGUUUGCUGAGAUCUGUCAGAGUCUGACUGGCUGGCUACAUAUCUGUCUCUGGAACAAUAGGUACCUGUAUUCUGCACGGACUGCUGGGCAGCACUGACACUCUGGAGAAGGUCUGCCUCUGUCUGCGCUUUCCUGGUUCUAUGCAGGCAGAUGAGUGCCACAGCUGUAACUGAGGCACAGAAUGAUAAACACAGUGAAGCCAAUUUCCAGGAUGGCGAGAGGGGGCACCGGAGGUGACAACAAUGACAAGGACCCAAGGACCGCCCUUUGGACAAGUUUUAGGUAAGAAAACGUGUACGCCCCGAUGCUUGCAUUUUUGCACGCUUGUGGCUGAGAGAGACGUUGAGAUAGAAAGCGAGUCUCAGUAGGAAAAUAUUUUCGCGAGGGUAUCAUCUGUGCUGUCACUUGCCUGCAAACCUGUGUUCUCAGGGCUUUGUGUUACGAGACUCGUUGGAGGUGAGGCGUGAGCAGGGCUGGGCGGACGGGUGAGCUGCUUUUUAUGUCUGUCUGCUGACAUUUAUCAUGCUGUUUAAAUUUGUAUCUGGAAAAAAUUCUGUUUGAUGAUAGUUAGCAAUGUUUUGUGCAACGUAGAGCAUAUGGCCGUGUAGAAUUCAAGUGAUGCUCUUUCAUUCUUAAUUUGAAAUUAUUUUUAUACUCAACUGUACUGAGGUCAGAGAGUUUUAAAAAUUAAUGAGAUUCCCUGUGGAGUUCAAAUAGUAAUGUCUACGUGAGCUGACACAAAAAAGAUAAGAUAUAGCUGGUAUAUGUUUAAGGUGGAUUUAACUGUCUUAAUGGAACAUACUCCAUUUGAAAUGUAUCAAUUGUACAAUAGUUUAUGGAAACCUAAGUAUUGGGGGAUAUUAGUCCUUAAAUUUUUUUUAAUGACCUGGAGACAUUUUGUCAAAACUAGCUAUAGAAGAGGAAUAGAUUGUGUGGAGGCAUUGCUAAAACUUGAUAGACAUAAUUGUUCUGGCAGUGGAGAAUACCUUACACUUUCGAGGAAAUGACAAAUAAUGAAUGAACCACAUGCUAAAAAAUAUGCAAGAGUGUGCUUUCAUCUUAAGUAAUAUAUAAAAAUUCAGGAGAUUUUUAGGGUGAAAAACUGCUGGCACGAACAAAGAAGCAAGUGUACCCAUAGAUGAGAAUUCUUUGUCACAAAAAUGAAUCCCGGGCAUGGAUUUAGGAGGUUAAGUGAUUUCUACAUUCUCAGUGCCCCACAGAAGGGGUGAGUCCAGACAUUUAAAAAUGUACUGAAAACUUUCAUUUCCCACAAUUUAAAAACAUUGUUUAUGUUCUUGAUACAACACAUUGUUUAAAUGAAGGGGACUGAAAAGCAGUCUGAGUAUACAGUAAUCGGGGCUAAAGAUGCUUUUUAUCUGAGUUCCCCAUUUACAAGACCCAUUCUGAGCUUCCUGUGAUAUAUUGUUAUGUAAAUACUGUGCAGCCGGGGAAAGCAGUACUAUGGAGAUUCAAUUUACUUUGAAAGUUGUUCAUUAUAGCAAGGAUGAAUGUUAUUUAUUUGAUGUGAUUCAAAGGCUGGAAAUGACUUUUUCAUUGUGGCGCCUUUUGUAAUGGGUGCAGGGUGAUCUAAUCUUUUUAAUUUUGGCUUUCACACCAGUGGAGAUGAAAAGAGAUCUGAACUCAUUUAUCGGUUGCUAGGUCCUUCUGGAGACCCAAGUCCUGUUCUUGGUUGCUAUGGCCAGUCUGACCUCAAUCUCUGUGGUUUUGGGGACUUAGGGAGCCUUUUCUCUCUCUUUCUUUCUUUCUUUCUUUCUUUCUUUCUUUCUUUCCUUCCUUUCUUUUUUUUUCUUUUUUUUAUUGAGGAGCAUGCACCUUGAUUUAUGUCCAAAAUUGUGGCUGAAUGUCUUUGUCUGUAAGUGAUAAAUGGUGCCGAACAAUUCAUCAGUUCUUACAAGUAAACACCGCUGUCCCACUAAAAAUAUGUUUUGUUCUGAGUUAAUGGUAUGGAACAAGGCAGCCUCCACAAACAGCUAUCUUUUAUUGCGGAGGGGCCUCUGAAACUUGGAGCAAAGUGGAGGAAAUUGGCACGUAUUUUCUUGUGCAUUAGCAUUUCACUUGUGACUCGGUGAUACCACUUUAGGCGGAUUGAGGAUGAGAGGGCAAACCUUCCGUGUCCUCACUUUCUCCCUAGCUGGGGCCGCCUCAGACACAGGCCCUCUCCGGACGCCUGGAUUCGGCCGGGGGCCCUCGGAAGUCAGGCGGAGUCCCUGAUGGGGAUGGGGUGGGCCUCCGCUCUGCAAGCGCCCUGCGCUGAGGCAUAAAUGGGCAGAUGUGGUGCAGCUCUGCUGCCUUCAGUCUCCGGCUGGUUCUUUGAGGGAAAGUUGUAUCCAAUACUGGCGACUCCCAGGGAUGUUCUGCUUGUGUGCUCCUUAAUGGUCCCUGGAUGUGCUUGCAUUCUAGAACCUUGUUAAGAAAGGAGCUGCGCUGAUUAAGGGGUUGUGGAGUAUACAGCCGUGCUUAGCAGAUGAGCCCUCCUGCAUUUCCCACUCCCUUAAAAAGUGCUUAAUUGAUGCUGCAGGGAGCAUACAGUCCGCUAAUAAGAUGAUGCUGACAAAACAGCUACCAGAACCAGGCACUUAUUGCUUAUAAGCGCCGUCCGCUUCCCUCUGAGAGAUUGCAGCUUUGUAGGGUGGUUUUUUCUUUUAAUAGUAACAUGCUAAUGGUUUUUAUCCUAAAUCAGCCAGCGCUGAGUAUCUUCAGGAAAAAUGAGUUCCAUAAGAAGUGGCAUCCUCCUCCAAUGGGAAGGUAAAAAAUUAAACAUUUUUUAAAGUGCAAUUUUCAAGCCAUUUCAUGUACUUCUUGCCAGUAGCAUUAGAAAGCCGCUUUCUAAAUAAAACUAAGAUUUGCGCCAUUCUUUCUAGCCAUAAGAGGUUUAAAGAAGAGAGUAUUAGGGAAUUUUAUCGUCAGUCAUUUUCUAAGGAUUGUCUAGCUUUUGUUAGCAAAAUGCAAUCAGGUACUUCGUAUGUUUCCUGUCAGCCUUGAAAACCAGCAGGUUUUUGUUUUUUAGAGGACAUUAUCCUUGGGGGGAUCAAUAAAAACGAUCUUUAUUUUAUGUAGAUUUUAUUCCUAGGACUGGUAAAUAAGCACAGGGAUUGGGUGAUGUCGAAGGUCUUCUGUCAGCCUGAAAAUUCCUCAAAGAGCACUAGUUUUCAGAAAGAAGGCAUAAGGACGCCUUUAUUAGUGUUAAUUGAGCUUCUUCAACUGUUCAGCUCUUUUUCGUUGAGCAGCAGUUAAAAGUUCUGUGCUCUGUGGGACAGGUAACCAUUGUGGCUGGAAGUCAUUUUCAAAAACUGGAUUUUUGGAGGUAUUUUUUUUUAGUGCUUUAUGAAGACUUGGGUUUUGCAGAGCCCAAUUGGGGCUCCUUAACUUGGGUUUCUCACUAAAGGUCUUCUUGAAGGUAAUACUUUAUAUGAGUGGCUAAUUUCACGAGAAAUGUUUAAUUCUAGGUAUCCGAAGGCAAAUGUUUCCCAGUGUGUGGUAUGUAUCUCUGUGUGUAUGUGAACAUAUUUUAAUAUAAAAUGUCUUAUAAAUUUUACAUCGUGCUUUGCUUUGCUGUUAUUUCAAAGGAUUUAAGUGAAUGUUGGAUAGCGCUCAAUUUCCUGAAAUGAUUAAAUUCCAUCUCUGAAGAAUCUGGGGAAAAGGCCUAUAAUGACAUUUUGAUGACUUUCAUUUUAAGGAAUAAUAGAAAUUGAGUAAAAUAUUUUAAUAGCUAUUCUCUAAUAUCUCAUUCCAAAUACAAUGUUUUUAUUGCUCAUUCUAGCUUACAAUUUUCUGGUGAUAAUAAUGUUGGCUGGUAAUUGUUUCUUAUGUAGAAAUCAUUCUAUCCUUAUGUAAAAGUUAUUUCAGAAAAGUCUUCAUGCAUUUAUCUCAGCUGAAGCAACCGCAUUGAACUCUUGAGAUAAAACAGUGAGUAUUUCCAGAUUCCUCCUAUUUUAAUUUGGUACUUCCUUACAAGAAUUAGGUGUAUCUUAAAGGGAGGAAUAUAACAAAUGAUAGUUUGUGGUAUAAAGAGGGAAAACAAUGAGACAAGUCAGGAGAAGGCUGAGAAGACAGAAUAAAUAUUAUGCGCUAUCACAAAAUUGACUUGGCAUCUUCCAGAUGUCAGGUACUUUUAAAAUUUAAAAACAGACUAAUAUCAAAUAUAUGUAUGUAAAUAUGCAGUCAUUAUAUCUGUCUAUAUUGAACAGGUAAAUGCAUGUAUGUAAACUUACUGUAAUUCCAGCUAAUGUUACCAGGAACACCUUAGCACCUCAAUUCUUUCAGGAGAUGUAGACACGAGUAAAGUUAAUCACGUAGCUUUUAAAGAAUCAAAUCUUUUGGGAACUGGAGUUGUGACAUGUUAGAUCAAUUUUCACGUAAGUCAGAAUAAAAAUCUUAAAUCGGUUUUUCUGUGCAAGUUACACAAAGCCAUUAGCCUCCAAACUGCGUUGUUCUAAACACUAAUUAGAAAAAUUUGUAUGCAAUUUAACUUGAUUGUAGUGAAUAUUUACAGUCAGAAUAUUAUAUUAUUGCUGAGUUAACACGCCAUCCAUGCAAUUUUUUAUAGAAGCAAAAUUAAGCUCUACUAUCUGCUUAUUCUCCUCUCUUAAUAUGUUUACCAGAUUUCCCCAAGUUUGCUUUCUUUUUGCACUUCAUACUGCCUUCCAGAUACCAGUGUUGCGGAGAAAUUAGUUACUCUUAGUUUCUUUCUGCCUACUAUAAUUCUGGGUUUUGUCUUUUUUGGUAUGCCGUUAUUCUUAUCUGUCAUCUAGACAGUUAUAUUGACUUUGAAGCUAUUUGUGUGACCUAUUCGUCUGUGUUUGGGCGGGAGAAGCUUAUUUCAUUAGAAAUUGUGUAUCGAGUGCUGAAAGAUUUGAGUUGCCUUUGGGAUGUUGUGCAAGGGCCUCAUAUUGGGAUCUAGAGUUUCCCAGUGGUAGCAAGUUACUUGCAUAAUUCAAUAAAAUCUUUCCUUCAAGCUACCUUACCUUAUUUUCCACCAAGUGGCAAGCCUCAGAUUUUCACUGAGCAUCAUCUAGGAAACUUAGUAUGAGAAAAACUGGCAGGGGUGGGACCCUCUUGGAUAGCUAGUGAAGGUGUCACUCUAGGUUACUCUUCUGAGAUGUUGGCAAGGAUACAUUGUAAAGUUUUAUCUACUGGUAUGUUGUGUUUAAUCACCUCUGUGAUCCAACAGCAGAUUUUAAUUUGCAUUACCAUCAGUCAGAUUCUUUUGUUUAAAGAGUACCACAAUGAUUUAAGAAAAUGCAAGCUAUGCUAAAAAUCUUAAUUACACACUCUCUCACUCAGUAAUAAUUAAUCGAAGCAUUAAAAAAUUUGUUCAGAUUUUAAAAUGUGAAAAUUGUAGCUUGCUUAAUGGUAUUUAUAAUUUUUUUUUUCAUCAGGAGAUGGCUCGUAUAGAAUCAUAAUCCCUGAGACUCUCUAAAGUUGGUAGACUUUAUGAUCCUACACCCUAUAGUGAACAGAACUGUUUUACAUUUGUAAUAACAUCUCUGAGCCAUAAUUUAUGUUCUUAAUGUUGCCUGGCAUUAUUUAAGCACAACGUACUUGUGAUCUAUAAAUCUUUGAAAUUCCUGUAUUUUUCUGACGAUUGAAUUCACAGUUCAACUGCAGACUGAAAUAUACCAUAAGGCUAAGAAUUUCCUUAGAGAAAGAAAGACAAGGUAGCAAGCACACCAUGGUCAGGAACAUAUGGUGUACAGUUAAUUAUCAAAAUCUCAAGGGUUUUAACAUAGUUUACUGCAGGCAUCUUCAACAAUACUGGAUUUUCAGAAUAUGUUUGAAGACGAAUUUGAUUUGCUAGAAAUUUGAAACCGGGAAACCAAAUAAAUUAUUUUUAAAAUGUUCUCCCAUAAGGAUUUAGAAAAUAUUCAUUCAUUCAUUCCAUAAACAUUUAUUCAGUGCCUGCCUUGUGCCAGACACUAUUCUUGUGGCUCUUAAUUUAAUAUUCACCAUUAAUUCAACAGUCAUUAUUUGCCUGGUUUUGCAGAUUAUAGGAGUCUCGCCAGUUAGUCAUACCCUAUCAGCUAAUCACAUCACAAUCCAUAUCAUUUUGGAACUUGUUCUUCAAUGAUCUGUUCUUUAAAUGGCUUAAAAUAUAUUCUCUGCAUAUAUACCAAUUUAGAAGAAUAUAUUGGCAAAGCAGUCAGAAUAUGUUUUAAGAAGUUAUCUUGUCGAUGCGUAUUUAGAAGUGUCCAAAUGCAUCCUUCCCCCCUCAGUAGCUAGGCCCAUGAUGCAGCAAAUACUAAAUGGGUUUGUUACAUUUGCUUCCUUCUAAUGCUGCUCAUACUAUGUUCAGGGACCUCUAAUUCUAAUUAUUAAUGGUUAACAUUUAUUUUCUAUAUGCCAGUCAAGGUACUAAAUCCUUUACUUUUGUAUUCUUGUUUAAUCCUUCAAUUACAUUAUGAGAAAGGUGGUGUCACUAUCCUUGCUUGUAGAAGAGGAAACUGAGGUUUUGCGAAGUUAACUCCCUCGAGGUCACAGAGCUUGCAAGCAGCUGAGAUGACUUAAAAUCCAACCGUUUCAGAUUCUAUUCAUCCUUCCAGUCAUUCAGCCGAUGUUAUCGAGCUUUGAUGAUGUCCUAGGCCUGCUCAACAUGUUUAGAAUAAAGCAGUGGCUAGAACAGGCAAGCCUCUGCCCUUAGAAUAGGAGCACGCAGUCACUUGAUACAUUCAUUAUGUUAUUUCCCUUUGCAUCUAUGGAUUCCCCAGAACCAAUAGCAUAAAACAUUUGAAUUUCAAACCUUCUUUAGACCUCUCACUAUUUGGCUUCAGUCUUUCUCUCCAACUGCAUUAUUUACAGAUUUCAAGAGAGGAAUUUGCUAACCCGGAAGACCGGUCUGUUCAUUGCCUCCGCGAAGUUUGCCUUGUGUUUCCUCCCACCAUUGCUGCCCCGAAACACUUUUGCCACUGCUUUCCCAACACUUCCCAUCCUUCUGCGUCUGGGUCAAAGCCCACGGUGCCAACAAAGUGUGUCUUAGAAACGAAAUCCUCAAGUUGUUUCAUCUGCAUUGAUCAUUUGACACAUGGCAUUUGCAACAACUAAAGAGAUAUGAGGCUAGGUAACAUUUCACGUGUUUCCUAUGUCCUGGCUGCUUUAGUAUUUGUACAUGUGCCCAGCUGACGUGUUAGCGAAGAGUUCAGGGAACCAGCAGUAAAAUAAGAGAAGAAAAUAGAAGAGGAAAAGGACUGGAAAGCUUGGAAACAAGAGCCCCCCAGUCUAGCACAGUGCCUGGCAUAGAAUAUGCAGUUAAUGUACAUUUGAGGAUGGGAAGGGGAGAAGAGCAGCACAAAGGAAGGAGAGACUGACAAUAGGAGGAAAGUUAGCAGGGGAAGAGAAAAUAAUAUUCCUAAAUUGAUAGCCCCAGGCCUUGAAAGAUCUUUAAAUACUCAAUUGGUGUCAGAGAGCCCAUUAAGGAAUGCAUAGAUAUGCAAAAUCAUGAAAGAUACACACUUGCAUGUAAGUUUUUGCCUUUUCCAGGAAUAAACUGUCCCUCUUAUCAACAUUAAUACUUUAGAUAUGGAAUGAACUUUCUGGUGUUUCUAAGAGCAAGGGCAAUUGUCUUAUGUUUGUGUAUGCGUAUCAUCACUAUUCAGGCCCACGGUACAGGGGACUCUAAGUUGGUUGUGUUGUUUUAUGCUGUGUAUGAUUAUUUCUCUAUCCCUUGGGACAUUAUUUAGUAUCACAGAAAUUGCUGGCCACCUUCCCCCCCCCCCCAAAGAGACUUCCUCUUAACCAUCAUAAAGUUUUAUUGGUUAAUACUUUAUGUCAGAUUUUUUUUUCAAUAAAAGCUAAGUUCGGUAUUCAAAAUCCUAAUGCAAUGUCCCCUCUACCAACAAGCAACUCUUGUGAUUAAUUUUAUUUAUGUUUUUCCUCCAUUGUAUUCAAAAGCAUAGCCUUGAAAUCUCUAGAAAAAUAUAUAUGUCUGUAUUUUGUGUGGGUUCUCAAAUCAAGUGCUUAAGGUAGAAAUUUUAUUUCAUAGGAAAAUCCAGGUAGAUAUUUCUUAAAGCAACUACUAUACGUGACCUUUGCUAUGGAGUUAUUUUAUGGACUCACUAUAAGAGCCAUGGCUUGUAUACGUAGUUAUGACUUGUAGGGCUUACUUCAAGGAUGGAUCACUAAUACAUAAUGUAUUUGUACCGUGUAUUAAUCUCCCUGGGUAAAGUAAGGUAGAAAGGCUGCACCUUGAACCAGGGAACAUGAUAGCCUGUGUGUACCCUCUACUUUUAUGGGAGUACUCUGUUGAAGCAGCCCCAUUCUUUGGAAAUCCCUACUUGCUAGUUGAGGUAAGUGAGGAUAAAGCUUUCUCCAUGAGGCUUUGAGCUACAUCCUGCUUUUAGGAAACAAGGAAUAUUUCCACAGUCUGUAUUUGUAGUAGUAGCAGUUGAACAGCCCAUGAGAGUUCCAAAAACGAAAAUGUGCUCCAAGUGUUUAUCACAUGCCGUAUUGAUGUCAGUAAAAUGCUGAGGAUGAGCUCGUCUCCCCCUUAACCCUGACUUUCCAUGGUCCUUUCAUUUUGACACUAAUUUCAGGCAUGAACCUUGGCACUUAGCUAUAGUGUGUAAUUGUUGGUAUCUCGCUGCCACCUGGGUGCACAAUGGCGAACAAUAUUUAGCCCCUGUGAUUUGCCAUAAGAACACACCACAUGCAGUUGGAGAGGGAAAUAUUUAAUCAGCCAAUUUUCUCCAUGCAGUCAUAAUCCGUUGAGUUGGUUGAAGACUCUGUUUUCUCUGAAUUGACUGUUUGUUUUGUCACUGCAAAAAUAAAACCUUUGGCUCCCUCCCAAAUUCUUGUCAUGCAAAUUGGGGGACGUGGUCUAUCAAUUUGAAUGUCCAAACGAAAAGAAGGUAUUUUAACAAUGCAAAAUUAAAAACUCAUUUUGGUCAAAAGAUCUUUUUUUAAGUUCCUUGAGUCCUCUGGUUUGUUGGCUCACUGUGGACGUAACAUGUGAAAGGCUGUGACGCAUGAAUGAUACUCUUCCAUUUUUAGGCAUGAUGAGGCUGUUGAUCUUUAAAGUAAAUUCCCUUUGGUGACAUUUACAAAAAUAGUUUCACUUUAGCAGCUUUUAAUUUUAAUUUUUUAAUAAAUGACAAAAAUGGUAUAACUUCCCAGUGACGAGGAAGUCAUCUAGGAAGUGGGUACUUACUUAAUGGAAACAGGAAAUACCCGUUGCUUCCCAUCAGAUGCUGUGCUUAUAAUCAGUCCAGAGAAAUAGCUUUGACUAAUAGGAAAAUGGUAUAAGAAUAGGAUUGUCUGUCUAAACAGGCAGCAUAUCAUCUUAAAGACUAAGGUCUAUUUUUUUAAUCCUGGUGCUUUCAAAGUGCUGGAAAGAUUUGAAUCCAGAACUUAGUCCUCAUUGUACUUUAAUUCUGCUAAUUCAGUGUAGUGCAGUGUGAUCCAGACUAACCUACUUCAAUUCACUGUUACUCAUUGGAUUUCUGAUAUUUAUGAAUAUUUUAAACUUCCUUCUGUCAAUUAUCUCUUCGAUAGUAUUUAUUUUUUUGGCUGGGUAAGGAUAAUAAGAGAUGUUAGUACAUAGGACAAAGAAUUUCUCAUCUUUACCACAGAAUAUAAUAUUUUGAAGACUUCAGAAUUUCUGUGUAGUUUGGGGGCUUUAUUGUUUUCAUUCUAAGCUGAAUUGAAGUUGGUACAGUGUGAGACCUUUCUAACUAAAAUGGUAUUGUUUUUACUUAGUAAUCAUGAUUAUUGUCAUAAAUUGGGAGAGACUUCAAAUCAUUUAUUUACUCAAUUAUUCAGUUGGCUUUUUUCCCCCUUAAUUAUCUUGUCUGACCAGUGUUGCUAAAGGCACUGAGGAUUUUACAACAGGCAAAAAUAUGAUGUUUCCCUCAUCAACUAUCAUAUAAUUGGAGAGAGAAAAAGAACUUUCAAGAAUUAAUUGGAUAAUAUAAUAAAAUUACUUUUAGCAAUCAUACUUCAGUUCUGUGAAGAGAGAAGCUAUUCCCUCACAGGUAGAAAGCAGUAUUAACAAUCAAAUGUAGCUUUUUGGCUCACAACAUUGUUUCAGAUUAUUUGUUGUGAGAACAGUAAUGAGUACGUUCAGAAUAAAGGCUAGUUCUUGAAAAUGGAUUUUACAAUUUUCAAUUUAUUUCAUCAGCGAAAAGAUUUUCAUUUCAAGAAGACUUAAAAAAAAUUAACCAUGUCACAGGGUUAGUUAUGAACGGUCCAAAACUUACAAAUACUUUAUUGAAGGUUUAUAAUAAACAAUGUGUGUGUAGGUGGGUGGGGGUGGAGUUUAUUUACCAUUGCCUCAAUUGUACAUCAUGAUAGUCUUUUAAAAUUUGGACCCAAAUGAAAAUUGAAACGUUUUUUGAAAUACUUCAACUUCCUUGCUGUCUUGAGAAGACAGACUAACCUAUUCUAGGCAAUGGAAAAUGUUUCAAAGCUGUAUUUAACAGUAUCCUUAGGUGCGUAAAGCCCUGCCCGGACUUUGUUCCCUGGCAGAAAUAUUACACCACUCACCCACAUGGCUGAAAACACUGGGCCAAGCAACACCUAACAUUAAGCAAAGAGCUUUCAGAUUUGUUCCUUAUUCGUCCUUACCACAAUUAUAAAAUUUGAGGAUUUUCAGGAAAAGCAACUUCGGAUGUAGGUACUUGCCAUUUACCAGGGCAGCCAAAGAUCAGCUAGCCAAAAAAUUGUUAAACUUUAAUUUACAAACCUUGAAGUUGUUGCCCUUAGUUAUGUUAAGACCUCCAUAUUGAAAAGCCCAGUAAUAAUCCAAUUAUUCUUACUUUUGAUCUUGUGGAGUUUAUAGACAUAGAGAAAAGAGCCUUGAGCGUUUCUGCCCUCUCUUCUGAGGGAAGGGAAGAAUUGGAGACAAAUGAGCACCCCAGUCCUAGGAGACAUCGCCUGUGGACAGUGUAUAUAGCAUUUGAUAAACCAGGAGGACAGAUGCCCUCAUAUUAAGGGACCAGGGGGAGGGUGCAGCAAAGGACUCAUUCUCCCGAGUCUCCUAUUAUGAAUGGACUUGUACUAGAUGCAUCAUAGGGAGACUCAGACAGAAGGAUACUUAAUGAUCCCCACUCAGAAAAUAGAGAGCAGCUUCCUGUCUAAAAAGUGGCAGCUCUGGGUUCUCAGUGUCUUUGAGAAGCAGGAUCCACCAUCCGUCUAAAUAGAUAAAGAGAGCAAAGACACUAUGCACCUUCUCUCUGUGACUUGUGAAUGCCUUUGGCGUCCCCAAAUAAGGAAGUCCUUUCACUGCUGUCUACUCUAAGCUGUAUUUCAUUUUUGAUAGCCAUUUGCAGAAGACAUUUUCAGACUCCAUGAUAUGUACAGAAAGUAUGUCUGAGAAAUCCUUCAGUUAUAUUUUUCCUACCUCCCCCAGCAGAUGAUUUGGAGCAUGAAGUUUAUAAACUUAGAUACCUCCUAUCAAUCUCUACCUUUAAAACUAUACAUUAGGGAUGCCUGGGCAGCUCAGUCGGUUGAGCAUUCAACUUCGACUCAGGUCAUGAUCUCGCAGUUGAGGAGUUCGAGCCCCUCGUCAGGCUCCGUGCUGACGGCUUGGAGCCUGAGUUGGAUUCUGUCUCUCUCUCUCUCUCUCUCUCUCUCUUUCUCUCUCUCUCUCUGCCCCUCCCCCGCUCAUGCUCUGUCUCUCUCUGUCUCAAAAAUAAAAUGAACAUUAAAAAAAACUACACAUUUAGACUCACACCAUUUGAAGAAAAAAUGAAACCAACAAAAAAACUUGAGAAGGCAAAAGCAUUCUGUAUUGGGGAACACAAUAUAUGGUUAAAUCUGUGAAUCAGAAGGGAUGAAAGACAGCGUUUAGAAACAAAGAGAUCAAGUUUUUAUUGAAUUAUGGAUUCAUCUAUUCUCAGUUUCGCUUCCUAGAUCAUAAUGUCCACUGUCUUCUUAAAAUUUGAUUUACCUCUAAGUAUGGUUCAGCGUAGACAUCCUUUCCUUGUUUGCUCUUUCUGGGGAUGACACCUUUCUGGCACCUCUCGAGGGUGUUCAUACAUGACAACUUAACGUUGGUAUAAUUUGCUUUUUGUCAUCCAAGUCUUUACCCCAGAGUAUUUUGAUUAAUAAUGCUUCUGAUGGCAAAUACAAAUUCCUGUGCUUCAUCUUGAAAUAUUUAAAUAUGAAAUCAAUAUUACAGUGCUGUGUCAAUGGCCAGGAGCACAGAGCAUUUUUCUCACACCUAUGGUGAAUCCAUAUCUUGUCAAUAAUGGACCGUUAGCUUUUCAGGUUCGUGUUCAUUUUUUAGGCUACAUCAACUGGUCGUGUCAUUGUUAUGUUUGAGCUUAAUGUCCUGUGAUUUGAGGGUCUCGGAUGUUUUUCGAGAGUCUGAUAUUCUAAUAUCUGAGCACACACUUUGAAGACAGGGCGAUAAGAACUCAGACCUCCUUAAAGGAUCAUCCAGAUGGCAGUUGGAGCAUUUUCUCAGUUGAUGUCUCCUGUUCUUGUUCACUCUAGGGCCCUCAAUUAAGCGGCAACCUUUGAGGCAGGGAGGAGAUAGUCUUUGGAAUCAAACCAAAUUAGAUUCAAACCCAAACUUUGCUAUUACUUUGGACCAAUUGUUUAGCAUCUUUGAAACAGUUUUUUUCCUCUGCAAAAUGAGGAUUCUAACACUCACCUUACUAACACUUCUUGAACAUUUCCCACAUGCCAGGCAUCAGACCCGCAUGGGUUAUAAGGCAAAUACUGUUAUUAUUCAUGGUUUACAAAUUACCACACCGAGGCUUAGAGAGGUAAAGCAAAUCCACUCCAAAAUACGCAUUGGUGCUAAGUAGUGGGGCCUCUUGUUGGUUCUUUUAUUUCCGUAGAAUUUCUUUUUAAGAAAGGACUUGCAGGGUCAAAAGGUACAUACAUACUAAAUUUAGUUCAUUUCUAAACAUCUUAUAGUUUUAAGCCCUUGACUAUGAGAGGCAGUAUUAAAGGUGUGCUUUAUAUCUCACCAUGUUGCUGCAUUGCAGACUGUUGCUGUUUGAGAGUGUUCUUUGUGAGUGGCCGUGGAGAGCUAUAUGCUAUGAGAACUGCUUUAUAUUUUUCUUCUUGAAGAUAGUGAUGAUGCUCUCAUCUUGAUGAGCACAGUUCCUUUUCAGUAACGAUUCUGGAUAAAUGGCUGUUGCAUGGAAUUGAAUACUAGCCUGCGAGGCAAUUGUUAUGCCUUAGAUGAAGAGUGGAUGCCAUUUCCAGAAGAGUUGGACAUUCUCAAGGAGGAGUUUUAUAGCCUUGAAGAAUUUUAUAUUUGUGAUUUGUAUGGCUCUUGAUAAAGAAAAAAGGAGAGUUAUUUCCUAGGAAUUUAAAACUUUGAUUCUGUUGUGCUUCAUCUCCUGCCCAUUCCCCAUUCCCAAGACCCUGCUAACUUCAGCUUCUUCUCCUACUUCAUCUGCAGGCUCUUGAAAUCUGUGGGACGCCUAAGUGUGUACGGAAACACGGAAAUAGCACAGUCCCUUUGGUUAAGAAUAACAUGUCACUUUUCUUUUUUUGCUUUUGUGUGCUCUCUGGAGCUCACCCAUGCAUGAUGUUCCAGUUGACUUCAAAGGCAAGUCUGUGGUUGGAUUAGCUCCACAGGACAGAAAGCAAGGUAAGAGACAGGCUUAGUGCUUUCAAGGCCCACUGGGGAGCUGAUAGAGCCAAGCUAUGUGGUUACCAAGACGACUUGUUCAUUUAUGUCCUCGUGGAAAAACAGGAAAAUUCGCAUGAUACUUUCUAUCUUAUUGUCACGAUUAAAAUCAUUUUUAAGUGGUGACUGGACAAUCCUCAAAAGGUUGCUUUAGAGCUAUAUAAUGCCUAUACUUGGGGAGUUUAAAGUCUAAUAAAGAAAAUAUAAAUAUAACAACGAUUCGGAGUGAGAAAAUACUACUAAAGUCACGAAGACAUGGAAUAUGCAAAUAGGGUGAUUUUAGGGUUAAAAAGGGAUGGCCUAGAGAAUAGUGUGUGUUUGAGAAAUUGCUACUAAGGCACGUUUGCUCUCCAGAUUUUGCCAGCAAAAGCAGAGUCCUGACAGAAAGCUAGAGCCAGGCGUUGCUGAGGGAAGUAUGGAGAAGGCAUCAUCACAAACGAGGGCACACUUUGGGAGAAGGCUGAGAAAUGGAAGAGACAUGGCUGAACGACGUAGGCAUCAAGAUGACAUGCUGGAGAAGAAUAUGGCAGACUGGAAAGGGUGCGGAGGCAAAGCAGAUGGGGCAGGGUGAGGUGCCCAUGUGGGCUGUGAGGCUGGGGAAACCUCCCAGAUGAAACGUCAAUGUGGAAACCUAAGGAGGAAUUGGAAGACAUGAGGUCCAUGGAAAAGCAUGGGAAACAGCCCUGGUGGUUCUGCUGUGUAUUGACAGUAGGCUUAUUCAGGACAUCUGGAAGCAGCACAAAGGCAGAUGAAGAGUCUUAAGUUGAGAAAUCAGAGGACCCGCUGAAAGAGGCCACAGUCAUCCAGGUGAGGGAUCACCAAGCCCUGGACUAACACCGAGGACACCAUGUAAAAACGAGGGUAACGUGGUAGUGACGGAGGAUACAAUCAAACAGAAUAACAAUUACAUCCACAAAACCCAACAUCAAAGAAGGAGGGCUCCGAAACAGUAAAGGAUGGAAAGGGACUAAUAGUUUGAAGGUCUUGCUUCUCUGAUGGAGAAAUGAUGGAUAGAGCAAGUCCAAAGAUAGACAGGAUCCCAGCAAAUCCUAGAAAAAGGACCAGGCAUACCUAUUGUUAUGUUUUUGUGGUUUUUUUUUUUUUCUUCUGUCUCUAGAAAGAAGAAGAAAGAGAAUAAGAUUAUUUCUUUGCACUAUGACUUACUCCAUUUUAUCUCCAGGAUCACAAAAUAUGUAUUAGUUAAAUUUAUAUUAAACUAAAAGCAUUUUUUUAAUUUCCUAGUCCCCACCCACUAGAGUUCUUUGAGAUCAUUUUAUUCCCCAUUGUCUAGGGAGACACUACAGAGAAACUGCUGUCUUUGUAUUACUGAACCUCAGAUUGAAUCUUGACUGUAGUUAUGUUCUUCUAGUGAAUAGAGCAGAAACAGAAAUGAAUCAUUUGUCUCCAGAAACUGUCAUUCUGACUUUGCUUUUGGAGACACUGGCAUGUGUACUGUGACUGGAACAAUCCUGCUUUGAUUUGUCAUCAAACACUUGUUACUGGACUUUGAAAGGGAAGAAAAAUAUUGUGAGAUUCAAAUGAGCUUUUCAUUUGGAAAAAGAAAAGGCUAUGUGUGUAGCUCUCUGUUCUAAUUAUUAUCAGUAGGUGUUUCUCUCCCAAGAAGUAUGCCGUAAUUUUAUGACCUCAGUACUGCUCAAUAUUUGCUUCAGUAUCUACAAACCAUAUUUUGAUUUAAUUUCCUAAAUCUUACAAAAUAUAACGGAAGUGUCGGUCCUCGUUGUCUUUUGGCUGGAAAUUCUAGAAGAGGAAACCAUUGAGUGGAAGCACCUCAGUUCAAAGUUACAAGAGAGGCUGAACUUGGAGAAGGAGCUUGUUUAGAAGGUCACAGGCCUACGUAGUGACAGAGCCAGGAAAAGCUCACAUCUAUUCAUAUCUACGUGACCCUCUUUUAACUAUGCUGUGCUGUCCCUUUCCAGUGUAGGAAUUUCUGUGCUGUAGAAGGCUAACCGCACAUAUAAUUGCCAUCCACCAACAAAUCAGAUUUCACGUGUGAUAUCUCAUAAGAUACCUGCACAUCUGUCUCAACAGCAUUACGACAAAGUACCAUAUAAGCGCUCUGGUAAUGACAGGGCUUAAAUAGGAGUUAAAGAGGUUUGUUUUUUUUAAAUCCUGGGACCAGGGCAAAUUGCCCAAGAGGUUUCUCAGCUGGGAAUGUGGUAUAACAGAAAGCGUAAGUAGAAGAGGAUAGGAGGGUGGAACAGCCACUGAUGGAGCCACGGCUGAGUUUGCUGUGGGCUGGGUUAGCAGUUCAGAACAGCAGUUCAGGGCUGGGUUAGCAGUUUCAUUCUUUAGCACAGCACAGUUCAUUAGUUCAAGUGUAUCCCUGUGUUUCUCCUGUUUUAAGUUUCCUCCCCUUGUCCUGGUUCCUGUCCAUCUUCAUUCCAAUAUCUCUCUCCCCAUCUCAUUCUAACCACUUGAAAAUUUGAUGUAUAUGUAUUUUGUGCAUUUCCUUGUCUCUACUUUGCAGUCCCCAGCAUCUGGCACCUGCUCUCAGUUCACAACUGAACUCAUGGUUCCUAAAUUGCUCAACCAAGUGGGUGUUUUGAGCCUUUCCUGGAUCUCUCUGCACAUUUGGACUGAUGGAUCACUCUCUCCUUAUUAAAGUUUCUCUGGUUGUUCCUUCCCCGUCUCUUUUGUGACUGUGUCUUCUUCCUCCUUCUUCCCCAGGGUUCUUCCUCAGCCCAUUGCUCCCCUCCCGUAUUCUCAUCGACUUUCAAGAUUUGCAGUUACUCAUAAUUUUAUUUGUAGUUCAAAUACCUUUUUUUUUUUCAAAUAUACAACUGUCUGUUGUAUCCAUCAGGCACUCUCCAGUUUAAUGUGUAAACUGAUCUUAUCAUGGCCCCCCUUAACCUGGUCUCUCAUUCUGUGCUCAUUCUACAUCAUAUUGUGGAACCACAUCCACGCGUUCACCUGGACUAGACGCCUGAGACUCAUUUUUGGUUUCCUUUUCACCACUGUUGUUAUCUUCCAUGUCCAACCCAUUGCCAGGACUGGCUCGUCUUCCAUCGUAAAUACUUCUUGCCUUCGUCUGCAAUGCCCAUCAUUACUACCACUGGUGUAGUUCAGAACGGCUGCUAUUUGGCUAUGAUUUCUCCUUUUCUUGGGCAUCUGCAUUAUUUAAAUGGCCUUUCUUCCAUCAGCCUUAUCACCAUCAAGUCCCCCUGACAUAUUCAUCCCAAGGCAGACCUGCCUCUUGCAAGCUUAAAACACGGGUGUGUUUUCCUGCCCUGCUGGAUAAAAUCCAAAAUAGUCCCAACUUAAAUUCUAGCCUAAAAAACACUACAUCCUGCCCCGCUCAUCUUAUCUCUAACAAUUUCCUGUUUUAAACUUUGCUUUCCAGGCACAGACAACAGCUGGGAAUUCUGCCUAUGAACCCUAUCAUUUCUUGGCUUUUUCUGUCUCAUUUGCCUUUAAGUCACUUCUCUGUCCUCUGUCCUGGCCCACUCCUAGGUCUCUUUUACUAAACACAAAUGUGUCACCUCUUCUAAGAAUCCUUCUUUUGUGUGUUUUCUCACCCUCCACCUCAACUCUCCUUACCCAUGCCCUGAGCAUAUUCCAGUCAUGGCAUGAGCUACAUCAUAUUCUGGUUUGUGUUUGUGUGAGCUCUACAGUCGAUUGACUGUUGUGAACAACUUGUUAGCAACUGAUUUCUUUCAACUAAAUUCAGACUGACUUCUUUGGAUGAGAACUUGGUAAGUAUUGGAAAGAUCUCUGUUCCUCUGCUGAUUUCGAGUCAGGGAGCUCUUCAUGUAAGGAGUUAUAUGUAUAUAAUUUACCUUUAAUUUAAUUUUACCUUUCAUUCUUUAGCGAGCAGUAACCUAAGUCACAAAUAUACAAGUAUCUUUAUUUUACCUUCUCGCCCAACAUCCACACUUUACCUACAUUUUACUGCCCAAACAAGCUGAAAUUGAAAAAGAUGAAGUUGGGGCACCUGGGUGGCUCAAUCGGCUCAGCCCCAUGUGGGGCUCCAUGCUCCCUUAAGAUUCUCUUUCUUCCCUCUCCCUCUGCCCCUCCCCCCACCGCUCCCCCCUCCAAAAAAAGAAAAAACAAAAGAAAGAAAGAAAAAGACUAAGUUAUUGGCUUGCAUGGAACACCCCUGUUCGUUUAGAAGGGUCACAGGAAUCUAUUUUCUCAGUUUCCAGAUCUAGGCUCUUACUGCUUUGUGACAUUGCUUCUCUGUGAUUUUUAAAACAUUUAAAGAUAAAUUUUAUAUGACCUUCAUUCACUCACAUGUCUAAAACAUUGAUUUUACAGGAUAGUCAGUUACCAUGCCAGAGGAAAAAUUUUAAAGCUUUAUUUAUCCACAUACACUUUUUUUUCAUACCAAGAAGUAGCACACUGAACUUUGCUGUCCCCAAAAAUACUAUAAAUGCUAUUUUCUCAGGAAAAAGAGUGAGGUUUAUUUUUUGUUAAUGAAGUGCCAAACAAGCUAGCCAACUUGCUGGGCAUAAUUAAAUUGGAGCAUCUUUGGCAGCACACUAUGUAGCUCCCUCCAUGCAAAUGUUUUGCAAAAAUUUAGCUUAAGCAAUUUUUUUUUUUUUGGACAGAUUCUCUUCAGGAAGAGACAUUCAGGAAUUGGGGGCAGUUCUCCCGAUAUUAUAAACAUUUUCAAAGACUGGUUAAAUAAGCUCCAUUAUUUUCCUAAUCACUUAAUUCAAGUCUUUUCUUCUAUGGCCACCUACACACGUUCAAAUUUCAGCACUUGACCUAUAUAGGUGCGAAUAAAGUGGUGGCCAAGUUCAGAUUUAAAAACGUUGUUUGUAAAGUCCCUCCAUUUCUAGUUUAUAUUCCUUCUUCCUGUGCUUUACAGUACUGUUUAUUCACUAUCUCUUUUUGUUCUUCCUAGAAUCAGAGAGGGAACACACACAUUCCUUAAGAAAUCACUCUUAGAAUAUCCUACAGAAAUAGAUUUCCAAAGAGAACAUGCCAAAAUGGAAGACAAAUAGAUACUUUGGUUUUUUUAAGUACACCUUCUGAUUUCACUUAAUACAUUCUCUCUUGUGUCUGCUCACCUCUUCUCUUGUAGCUCAAAAGCAGGCACAGAUAAUACAUAAACAGAUGAGCGUGACUAUGUCCCAAAGAAAUUAUUUACACAAACAGGUGGCAGGCUGGAUUUGGCCCACUGUCAUACUUUGCCAACUCCUCAUUUAACUCGGAACUCUUUUAUUUUGAUUUUUAAAGUCAUGGACAUGAAAAUUAAUGCUUCCUUCCUUAGUGAGUAAAAUUUUAUAAUCAGAGACAAAUACGUGAAUUCUUCAACGAUUACAAAAGAUUAAUACUUUUUAAGAUCUUUUCUAUAUCUGAAGUUAUUGCUUGUACAGUUGCAAGUUUCUUGAGGGAAGUACAGGGAUGAUAAUUUAUCACACACUUUCACCAUGACCAAAUGCCUGCUUCAUGAUACAGGCAUCUUUUUUUUUUCUUUUCUUUUCUUUUCUUUUCUUUUCUUUUCUUUUCUUUUCUUUCUUUUCUCUUCUCUUCUCUUCUCUUUUCUUUUUGCUUUUCUUUCUUUCUUUCUUUCUUUCUUUCUUUCUUUCAAGUGUUUAUUUAUUUUUGAGAGAGAGAGCAUGAGCAGGGAGGUGCAGAGAGAGAGAACAGAGGAUCCAAAGCAGGCUCCACAUGCUGACAAUGGAGAGCCUGAUGUGGGGCUUGAACCAGAAACCAUGAGAUCACGCCCUGAGCUCAAGUCUGAAGCUCAAAGGACUGAGCCUCGCAGGCACCCCCAAGCAUAUUUUCAAACAAAUGAAUGAAUGAUUAAGGCUCUGUAUGACAACUGGUAAGUCAAGCUGAUCCUGUUGCAGACAAAGUAUCAGACCCAAUCUUUAAGACUUAGUUCCCUGUGCUCUCCUAUUUCCAAAGAUGCUGGCUUAAAUGCACUGAUAAUGGUGUAAAGAACAAGGCCAUGGUCAGUGGCGAAAGUGGUAUGUGCUUCCACCCGAGCCCAUGUUCUGCAACAGCUGAUCAUGGGAGUGUUUUAUGAUUCUCAGGCUGAUGGAGAGAGUGACGAGUGGGUUGCCAGCUAUAGUCAGCGUGCACAAUGGCUGCGGGGAAUAUAUUCAGACAUGCCCAAGGAGGUCUGCCCAGGGGGAAACACAUACCUUUGAGGUUUAAAUCAGGUGUGUGAAGAAUGCUAGAACCGUGACUUCUACGAUUUUGUUUUGUUUUGGUUUGGUUUUUGCAUUUAUGUUUUUCAAGGAAAACAGGAUGGAUGGUGGCUCUUGGCUGUUCCUCAGACUCUUUUGAUGCCAUGAAAUACACCCCAAGUUUAACCUACUCUCUCUCCUAGGAUGUGAUAUACUCUACUUGCUGCUCAAAAGGGUUGUCCUCUAUUUUAUCAAAACUUUAGAUUUUAAAGAGGUAGUUUUUCAUCUUGAAAAAGGGUUUUGAUUUUGGAGAUAUUUUAAAACUGAGAACUGAAGUUUUUCAGUUUGUUUUUUUACCACUUGUCUAUUUGCUGGGAAAAAUAAAUGCUAUUUGUAAUAUAGGAGUUAGCCACAAGAGACCUAAGAAAAAUUAUGUUCACAUUAUCUUUAGAAAUACGUGUUCUCAUUAUCUUUAAAAAGUUGUUAAAUGUCUCAGAAAUGUCAAGAAGAUGUAACAUUGUUUAGAAAAUAUAAACCACAUUUCCUUGCAGGAUGCAGUUGUGCUUAAUAGCUCUGUUUAAUUCAUUCAGAGACUACACGAUUUUUGUUGCUAUAUUUUGUUAGAAAGGAAGGAGAGGCUGUUUCUACAGGUGUCAUAGAAAAAUCAAUAUUGAGCCACGGAUUAUUGGAUCCCAUAGAACCAUGGAGACUUGGCAGUGAAAUUCUUCCAAAGGCAGAUGGUGUUCCUAGGUUUGGAAGGAUAAAUCCCAGGGGAAGUGAGCUGAAGAACAUUUCAUGCAUCACUCAUCCUAUUAUGAGCCCUGUGCUGUUCCAUCUCUCUACAAGGCUGGCUGAAACAACAACAGAAACUGGUGUGUAAUUCGUAUUCUAACUUUGGAUCACCUGGUUAAUACUCUGACUCUGACUACCCAGAAAGACAAUGUUCUAUAAGAACUAUCUGUUAAAAGGCCUGCUGCUGCAUUAUUAAUAAAAUAACAGGGAAAAUGCGAUGAUCUGGAUGUCCCAUCUGAUGAGUUGGCAGUUAAAGAACCAAAACAGCAAUAAGACUGCGCAGGCACAUUUUCCCAGUGCCACCAACUGGGCGUUAAGCUGACUAACGUUUUGAAAGCCCAGCCCAUUUCGUUCACAGCAGGCAAGGCAGCGGUUGACUGAUUGUACCCGCCAGCUGGCUAAUAUCAUAAUUAACAAAGUUGCUACUACAUCUGCAAAGUUUAAUCGAAAAAUUUGCCAGUGAUAUGAUGGCAUUGUCACAAAGAUCACAAGGGACACGGAGUUGACUUUUGCUCAAGGUGGAAUGGCAAAGCUGUAUGGGCAAGAUGAGAAAUCGUGCACUUGUUCAGCCAAAGGUUAUGCUUCAUAUCACCCACCGGGGAGGAUCAUCUCUCAUGAAAACUUCCAAAUUUGAUUUUGAAAAUUAUUCAGAAAAAUUUAAGCCACGCUAUCUCCCACUGUAGGAAAGAAUAUACUCUGGAGGUUCCUAUAAUUCAAAGAAAAUGGACUGGGAUAACAUUUGGGUUUGCAUGCCACCAAAAUCCUCUCGAGAAGGACUGCCAGGUUUUGCUAAAGGAUCACACUGUGGAAUCUACAACCGUGACAAACUUCUGCACUUACUGCCCCUUGAAAAACAAAAUAUUGGCAUGGGAAGGUUGGUGGGCAUGUUGUCUUUUCGGAAGCCCUUGUUGAAUGUAAUUAGCUUGUAGAUUUCAUCCCUGUCCUACACCACAGUUUUUACCUACGUGAUUUAUGCCUCAGUAAUCUUCAUUGUGUGAAACUUUUCCAACUUAACUAUAUCACAGGCACUCUGUAGAAUAUUAAAGGGGCAAACCUAUGCGCAUUUCUUUUGUGUUAAAUUGAUUUUGAUUUUUUUUUCUGCGAGUCCAAACGCAAUGGGCAUACUCUUCACCAGCAACCUGCACCCGCCCCCAGUAAGGACAGGAGUCAUCCAAGUGUGACACGCUAAAAGGCAGCUGGGCCGCCCCAUUCGUCACCAUGUUCCCUGACGGAGAACAGAAAACAGAAGCUGGGGACACGUUUCUUGACCUCACAAAAGUGUUGGAUGUCAGGAAGCCUUGACAAGGAGUUCAGAAAUCUUGUCUUACUUUUCAUAUUUAGAGCAUCUCCGUGCUGUGAUUCUGGGGAGCUACCAGAGUUUCCUCGUUCCUCCAGAUUCAACACACACUGUUGUUCCCACCCAUCACCUGCGCCCUGCCUUCUGCAGCGGUGAUUAGAAUCUUGGCCGGAAGGUCCUGUGGUCAGCGGGGCUUGGAGCCGCUUUCUGGAGCCUCUCUCUGUUCAUGGGCAAAUAGCCACCAGGAGGAAGAAAUCUUUUUGAAGUUGCCCUUCUAAGAGUCUGUGUUUGCUUGUACACUAAUUGUCAAGUUUGAUCAUCAUAAGAUAAUUGGCUUUAUAGAAAUGAGAUCAUUUCAAACAUCUCUAUUCAGAAAAAAAGUUUAAAAAAAAAAUAAGUUUAGAGGGUAGAGGAUGAAGAACAGGCUGGUUUUUUUCACUCACGUGCAGCAAUGUAUUUUUUUUUUUCUUAAAAGAAAGUGAGUAGACUUAUGCAAAAGCUCAUCUUCAUAAUAUAGCCUAUUUUUUUUUUCAUUUGACAAAACAAAAAUAAUGGAGUUGGUGACAGGUAAAAGAAAAGAUACAAAGUAUGUUUAAGAAUGGGUGUUUUUUGAAGUUGCUAUUUUGUCAUAUGAAAUUCAAUCCAUCUUGCUACUAGAUGUUGACCUGGAAAGGGACAACAGUCCUCAUGUUAUCCCUUUACAGCCUGGGUGUGGGUAGCUGGUAUUUUGUUCAGUAAAGACGAGGUAUUCGGGCAGUUUUGCAAAGUCAGACUUACCCACUGUUUGCCGUGCAGGGCAGUGUUUUUACCACCAGCCGGGGCAAAGUGAGGGCUUCCCGGGUGACAGUCGCUUGAAUGGAACUGUGUGGUGCUCCUGACGGUGGUUCCUGUAGGUGCGCAUACGCCUGUGUGCACGCGUGCAAGCGCGUGUGAGGUGCGCAAGGUGUGCACACGAACUUGAGUGUGGCAUCGGAAGACACCAAGCAGCUCCAAAACCAAGUGGCCUCUCAGCUCUGCCUGGGGACCUCAGGGUCUCAGUGGAUUGCAGACUUUGCUCUGCCCAGGAACCCUCCCAGAACAGAGGGGGCUCGGCCUGCGGGCUCAGAUUAUUGUACAGUUGGCACCUCCUGUUUCCCGUUUCUAAGAUCUUUCCUACUGGGGCGCCUGGGUGGCGCAGUCGGUUAAGCGUCCGACUUCAGCCAGGUCACGAUCUCUCAGUCCGUGAGUUCGAGCCCCGCGUCGGGCUCUGGGCUGAUGGCUCAGAGCCUGGAGCCUGUUUCCGAUUCUGUGUCUCCCCCCUCUCUGCCCCUCCCCCGUUCAUGCUCUGUCUCUCUCUGUCCCCCCCAAAAAAUAAAUAAAAACGUUGAAGAAAAAAAAAAUUUAAGAUCUUUCCCUACCGUCGGGACCUGGAGGUAGAACAAAAUCGGUGUCCAGCCCUUCCACUGCAAGUGUAAAGUGACUUGAAUGUGGUGGGACGAAGGCAUGAGGCAGCGCGGGGCUCCAUUUGCCAUGGCUUGUUUUGUUUUGCUGGGUAGUCUUAGAUUUGGAGCGCGAUUGGGGAACGAAGGGGGAAUUGCCAGGUGGAGAGGGUAAGGGGGAUGAGAGGCCUGAUUAGCAGUGCGGUGGAGACUAAUUACUAGUCCUUCCUUAUUGGGUAACUGCUAUUUCCUGGGUGUGGCCUGCAUCGCUCAAAACCACCCUUGCUCUUCCGAGGCCCCCCCGGGAAGACGGGUUAACUACUCGGUUUACGGGGGGGGGCGCAAAGUGAGGCGUGAGACCGUUGAAACGGAGUUUGUUUCUGAGCAGCAGGGCCUUUGUGUGAAGAGAGUUGUUUUUACACGGAAAGGAAGGAAAUAACUCGUACCCAGUGGGCUUUGACCUUUCCUCUUCCUCUUUCCCCCUCCUCUGUCACCUCCUUCCUCCUCUCGCAGGGCUUCUCCUCCUUUUUCUUUUCUCAAAGAGAGAAUCAAAGGAGACCCAGCUGCUGAAACGCCAUCCCACUGUGCCUCCUGCGACAGCGCAUUCUUCUUUUCGCGCUUGCUGUUCAGCUACUUACUUGUUUUGAAAGUUUGAUAAAGGGCGCUGAGUUCUGCCUCUAGUGGCUUCUAUCAUUUUCACAUAAGGAGGCUAAUAAUGAAGGGCCGGGGAAGGAGGCCAGUGCUAGGAGGGUUAUCUCACUGCCUCAGAUGCUGGAUAAGUCGAAGGAAGCAGAGUCGCUUUUGGAUGACAUUCAGAAAGGCCGGAGUGAUUAUUUGGGAGAGAAAAGCCUGCCUAUUCUUUUCCAAGGUGCGUGACUGUUCCCCUGGCCUGCCCAUCCACUGAUGAAUUAUUAGCAACGUGCCUUAGACAAAGGACGCACGGGAGCCCCACCACACCUAGAGCCACGCUUUGAAGGAUCUGCCAAGCUCACUUUUAAUCAUGAGAAAGAAAUUACCCACAUGGAGUCAGCAGAAAAUGAGAAAGUAGAGCUCGUGCUGCGAAUAAUUCCAGCAAGUGCCAAGGGGCUAGUUGAGGAAUGGCUUCAUGAAGUGAAUAUCUUUAGCUUGUACUUAGGGUUUGGUUAGCGUAUAAUCAUUUUCUCUUUUAGGAGCGUUGACUAUCCUCAGUGUCUUUCCUCACUAAAGCGUGCUCAGAGCAUUCGUCAGGAUGCUGACAGAUUUAAUAUCAGUCUCGUCCUUGUUGUUAUUUACUAUGACUAAUUUUACAUGUGCAAAUAUGCAAAAAUCAAUUUAGGCGGAGAGGCGCUCUGGAGCCAACGACUGUUAAUCGCUGUAUGUGUGUGUGUCUCGCUUGCGAGUGGAUGUCCAGUAAUUUCUGUCUCUGUGUGUGUACGUGCCCUUGUUCUUGUCUUCUCUCCGUUGUGCCAUAGGUCGGGAGGUUUGGCCAGCCAAUGCCUUCUCAGAUGUGGUCUGAGGCUUUCAUUUGAUUUUUGGACCAGGAAAAAAAGAAUGUGUCACAUCAUGAUUAAUGGUCAAUCUGAAUUUUCAAUUCAUAUGAAAGGAGAAGGGGGAGGAGGAUAUGAGCCCAGUGAUGAGACUAACCUUUUCCCUUUGGGAAGAGCAUGAUUCAAAUUAAACAUCACUUUCAGUGUGAAAUUAGUUUGAAGGCUUCUUUUUUUUUCUCCCCCCCGUGCCUGGUUUAACUCCAUGGUGGCUGCUCCUGCGGAGAGGACCCUUCCAUCCGGCCUCUGUGCCCGAAUCUGUUCCCAGUAGGCCAUAGUUCCUCUUCUUUUGUUUUAUUUUUCUAAAGACCAGGUCCAAGAAACCAAAAAAAAAAACAAAAAACAAAAAACAAAGAAGAAUAUUUUACUAUAAAAGCAUCAUUAUUCACAAGAUAAGAUUUUCCCCAAAACAUGUUAUUUCUUUGUGUCCCACUUAUGUUUCCAAAAAAGAAAAAUAAAUAAACAAAUAAGUAAAUAUGUAAAUAAUGUUCUUCUUUUGAGGAUAAUUUUGCCAGGGAGGAGGAAAAGGGAAGCGAGGGAUCCUUUCCAAAGACCUUUGAGUGCCCUCGGCUUUAUGCCAGUUUCUGCUAGCCGAGUGAGCCACAUUGGAGAACAGCAACCCCAAACCCCAAGCUUUUCCUCAGUUCUCUAGUUCCCCACGUAACUGAGUCACAGGAUCGCCAUGUCAACCUGCAGCAGCUCUGGCUUCAAGCAAGCAUAUGCCGGGACAGUCUGAAACUACCCUUCAGUACCUACCAGAGACUCAGGCCCAAGCUUGUAGAAAGAACCCACUGUCCAUGGAAACGCUGGGCCGCUUGCCCAUCUGUGCACAUUCUGGAUGCCACAGUUAGGCAUCAUCAGGAUUUGAUGUUCCACUGAUGCUCUUUCUGGAAUUUGGUGGCUUGUAGAGAAAGGACAAGUAUAGAAAAGGCCAAGAGACAGGCUCGUUCUUCCAUGUCUUUUCAAAAAGAUGCUAGGGCUUUGUAAUCCCUUUCCUACAGGAAGAGAGGUGUGGUGGGGGAGGGGAAGCAGC